AUUGAACGCUGGCGGCAGGCCCAACACAUGCAAGUCGAGCGGAUGAGAAGAGCUUGCUCUUCGAUUUAGCGGCGGACGGGUGAGUAAUGCCUAGGAAUCUGCCUGGUAGUGGGGGACAACGUUUCGAAAGGAACGCUAAUACCGCAUACGUCCUACGGGAGAAAGCAGGGGACCUUCGCGCCUUGCGCUAUCAGAUGAGCCUAGGUCGGAUUAGCUAGUUGGUGAGGUAAUGGCUCACCAAGGCGACGAUCCGUAACUGGUCUGAGAGGAUGAUCAGUCACACUGGAACUGAGACACGGUCCAGACUCCUACGGGAGGCAGCAGUGGGGAAUAUUGGACAAUGGGCGAAAGCCUGAUCCAGCCAUGCCGCGUGUGUGAAGAAGGUCUUCGGAUUGUAAAGCACUUUAAGUUGGGAGGAAGGGCAGUAAGUUAAUACCUUGCUGUUUUGACGUUACCGACAGAAUAAGCACCGGCUAACUCUGUGCCAGCAGCCGCCGUAA
rnacentral:rRNA from 1 species